rnacentral:pre_miRNA from 1 species
AAAGUACUCCCUCCAUCCCAAAAUUCUUGUCUUAGAUUUGUCUAGAUACAAAUGUAUCAAGUCACAUUUUAGUAUUAGAUACAUCCGUAUCUAGACAAAUCUAAGACAAGAAAUUUGGGACAGAGGGAGUAGUUG